rnacentral:lncRNA from 1 species
CUUACCAAGUGGCUUUUGUACAAAGAUCUCACAAGGCAAAGAGCUGCAAAGAACGCCUGUUCUCAUUUCUGAUGGGCGACAACUAAAUCAGAAAGAAGGGAGACAGAAUACAGCCAAAAGCACACCAAGAACUGGGAGCAGACAAGUAUGAUCGGACAUUUUGGUGCCAUGACUUGGAUCGCUCUGCUUAGUGUCUUCAUGGAGUUUCCUGACAUCGCUUCCCAAAGAAGCUAUAUGCACUUGCAUCAUCACAUCAGGAAAACAUCCUAUUCAUGAUAGAAUUUCAC